GCCGCAGGUCUGUUGGAGUUUGCUGGAGGUCCACUCCAGACCGUUUGUCUGGGUAUCACCAGUGGAGGCUGCAGAACAGCAAAUAUUGCAGAACAGCAAAUGUUGCUGCCUGAUCCUUCCUCUGGAAGCUUCACCUAAGAGGGGCACCCGGCUGUAUCCACUUACAUUCUUGAGAGAAUGAAGGUAAAAACGGGAAUCUCUGCAUAUAGCUACAAAGUCACCCAGGGAAGGACAAGCUCAUGGAGGGCUCUUUCCUGCCCAUUCGCCUCAUUUAAGUGCAGCCAUCCUUCAGGCCCUUGGUUAAGCUUCCAAGGACCCUAUGGGUCAAGGUGAAGCCAUCAGUGUCUACAGCUUCAGCUAUUGCCCGUGUGCAGAUGGUGCUUAAUCUCUCUUGUGCCUUCCAGACCUGCAUUCCAGCCACCUACCAAACCCCUUUCUGUGGAUGCCAAGAAAAGUCUUCAGACCGUGGACAAUGUGCUCUUUGCCCCUAUUAUGGAGAAAGGUGUUCCCUAGGUGGACUAUCAUCUCCGAACACUCCUAAGAAAUGGAAGAUAGUCUCUUAAGAGGACAGCCCAGAGGUAGUUUGAGGAAACGUCUGACAGCAGGAAAAACAACUUCAGCAGAUGCCCCUUUGGCCAAAGCAUGCUGUUAAAACUGACUCUACUGACACCUGGUGGAGAGUAGGGUAACUUCUCCCUGCUAAAGAGGGUGUGUGUGUAUGUGUGUGUGUGUGUGGGGGGGGGGGGGGUGUGUGGGGUGUGUGUGUGAUGAACGGAUUGGAAACACAUUCAUCAUGUCAGGGAAAUUAAUUCCUAAGGAAUGAGGGUACCAUGCAGAACCACCAGAUGCCAGAAUAUAUAAUUGUGGUUAGGUGACUCACUGAGACACAUGCAUGAAAAACAACAAACAAGAAUGUGAAAAUAAAACAUUAAGACUGCAGCAAAUGAUUUAUUAUUGAUUUUUAAAAAGAGUUUGAUAAUGAGUAAGACAAUAACAAACAAUCCACUCCCUUCUGCAACCCUGGAUGGUGUCAUAAGAAAAGACUCUAGUACUUGACCCCUUGAUAGUAUCAUCUGAAAUUUAAAAGAAAAUUCAAUCUUGUCCCAGGGAGACAGUGUCUCUCAGUCUGAGCCAGUGCUCUGCUGCCUCUGGAAUCUGCAGUGAGCUCCUUCAGAUUUUUAACCCUGGGAUAAAAAGAAUAAUCUUCCUAAAUGGAGUGUUAUGAAGACUGCUGUGCUCCUGAAAUUCCCUUGAAGAUGAAAAUAAAAUUAUCCUAAUAAAUAUA
rnacentral:lncRNA from 1 species